rfam:Zootermopsis nevadensis contig20684, whole genome shotgun sequence.
GCCACGGUGGUAUAGCGGUUAGAACGCUGGUCUUGUAAUCCUGGGGUCUCGGGUUCGAUUCCCGGCGGUGCCC